AGAGUUUGAUCAUGGCUCAGGACGAACGCUGGCGGCGUGCUUAAUACAUGCAAGUCGAGCGAGGUUACUGUUUUGGAUCCCUUCGGGGUGAAGAAGCUUUAACCUAGCGGCGGACGGGUGAGUAACGCGUGGGUAACCUACCCCAAAGUCCGGGAUAACAGCGGGAAACCGCUGCUAAUACCGGAUGCCUUUACCUUGGGGCAUCUUGAGGUAAAAAAAGGUAACGCUUUGGGAUGGGCCCGCGUCCCAUUAGCUAGUUGGUGAGGUAACGGCUCACCAAGGCGACGAUGGGUAGCCGGCCUGAGAGGGUGGACGGCCACACUGGGACUGAGACACGGCCCAGACUCCUACGGGAGGCAGCAGUAGGGAAUAUUGCGCAAUGGACGGAAGUCUGACGCAGCGACGCCGCGUGAGCGAUGAAGGUCUUCGGAUCGUAAAGCUCUGUCCUUGGGGAAGAAGGCGAAAGCUUGACGGUACCCAAGAAGAAAGCCCCGGCUAACUACGUGCCAGCAGCCGCGGUAAUACGUAGGGGGCGAGCGUUGUCCGGAAUUACUGGGCGUAAAGGGUGCGUAGGCGGCCCUUUAAGUCGGAUGUGAAAGCCCGCGGCUUAACCGCGGAAUGGCACUCGAAACUGGAGGGCUUGAGUGUCGGAGAGGGUAGUGGAAUUCCCAGUGUAGCGGUGAAAUGCGUAGAUAUUGGGAGGAACACCAGUGGCGAAGGCGACUACCUGGACGAUAACUGACGCUGAGGCACGAAAGCUAGGGGAGCAAACAGGAUUAGAUACCCUGGUAGUCCUAGCCGUAAACGAUGGGUACUAGGUGUGGGUGGUUUCGAUACCAUCCGUGCCGUAGUUAACGCAUUAAGUACCCCGCCUGGGGAGUACGUGCGCAAGCAUGAAACUCAAAUGAAUUGACGG
rnacentral:rRNA from 1 species